rnacentral:lncRNA from 1 species
CUGUGUCUGAAAAAAGUCAGGUCAAGCAACUUUUACAAGCAAUCCCCGACGUUCAUUUUGUGUCAAGCCCAUGGAAAGCUCAUUUUCACACAGAACCCUAACUUCUAGGAGUGGAGCAAUGCCCAUAUAUGCCUGGUGUAAGGUCUAGAAAUUAGCAAAGUUCUGGUAGAGUGUGUGGCCUAGCCUAUGCUAUUACACUGAUCCAUG